rnacentral:pre_miRNA from 1 species
AAUUUCAUCUGAAAAAGUCAUCAAUAACAAAGUUGUAUAACUCAUCAAGAUCUAUAACUUCUAUUUUGGUCAUUUCUUCAUCCGAUAAAGUGAUUUGUAAGAUUGUUUACAAAAUGUACAUCUCUUAUAUGGUUUUUAAGAGAUGUACAUUUUAUGAACAAUCUUACAAAUCACUUUAUUGGAUGAAGAAAUGACCAAAAUAGAAGUUAUAGAUCUUGAUGAGUUAUACAACUUUGUUAUUGAUGACUUUUUUAGUUGAAAUC